rnacentral:lncRNA from 10 species
GUACUGUUGUAACUCUGUUCUCCAUGAAAAAAAAGGAAGAAUCAACACUUUCAGAGAUGGAGCCUGUUGAGCCACAGUACCAACUAGUCAAUGCUGAAUCGACUUCUCCCUUUCUACAUUGCCUGAGAGAAGUCAUUGGGGAAUACUCUGUACACGAAUUUUCACUGUUGGGGAAAACAGAGAGUCAAGGGAUUGGAUUGUGGAUUGCAUUGGUGGUUUUCCUCAGUUUCCUCAUCUUCUCCACAAGUUUCUACAUAUCGAAUGCAGAGCAGCCCUUCUUCAAAGGACCUCCUACGGAAGCUGCUAAGGAACUCAGUCUGUAGCUCUGCGUGGAGCCAUGUGUAAACACUGAACUGAGACCUGCCACCUCCUACUACCUAAGGGCCCAUUUUCAUCUGAUAUCAUCCCCCAGAAACAAACUCAUGAUGACUUCCAUGUUUUUUUUAGAUUAGAUACAUGGAGAAUUUUCCUUUCCCUUAGAAUUAAAAUCCUGCAUUCUAAUUUUCAGUAAGCUUUUUUAUUUCUGAAUAAUUUUAAAUUUAAAGAGAAGUUGCAAAGAUAGUAUAGAAUGUUCCCUUAUACCUGUUUUUAUUUAGAGUGAUGUUCCCAGGAGAAAUGAUAAUGCAGCAAUGGACAAGAACAGGAACAAGAGACAGUCUUACCAUCUUCUUACAAUUUAUAGAUGGGACAGUGGAAAGAGAAGCCACAUCGGGGUUGGGCAUGCAGAGACCUGGUCCUAAAUCUGUGUGACUUUUGCGAAAUCCUUUUGCCUCACAGAGCUCUAGGUUCUUAUCUGUCAAACAGGAACCAGACCAUCAGAUCCGUAGAGAUCCAACCAAUGAAGGAGACUUCGAAAACUUCACAUUGCCGUGUCAAUGUGAGGUUGCUGGAUGGUUAUGACAAGAAAUCACAUUAAAUUCACUGGGGUAACAUUGUUCAUGAAACGGGAUAAUGUGUUUCAGCGAUGAACCACCCAUGGCCUUACUACAGACAUAUUUCCACUUUGAAAAUGUGUGUGAGUGUACAUGUCUGUGUGUGAGGCAGAGAUUAGAAAGUGUAAAUGUGUGCGUUUUCAUUUUACACAUCUUACAUUUUCCUUUAAUUUGUUUGAAAGCCUGUUUUGUUUGUGGCUUCCAUUCCUGGAAGUCCCAUGAGUUGUUAGUGGUGAAGAUGGAACAGAUGUGUCCAACCCGGGGGACUCCUGCCCUCAGGGACUGAGCAGCUGCAAACCUCUCUCUCAUCUGAUUCCACUGUUUCUUCCACAUGUACACAUCAUGAGAAAUAUUGUUCAAUCAAUAUCUUCCCUUAAAUCAACUCAUAUGCUUAUUUACAUGAAUUUACCUAAAACAGAAACUUGAUAUCACUUCUGUAAAUGAAAAAAUUAAACUUUCUGGCUUUAAAUAAAGCAUAACAAUAAUAAUCAUGUCAAAAUUACCUCUCCAGUGUUAUGAAGUUCAAGUUAGGGGUGAAGAUUCCUGAAGGCCCUGGUCCUAGGUCAUAGUUGUUCCUGAUUAAAGGGGAGACGGACAAGUGUUCAAAAGGGUCAAAGACAUAGUCCCCUCAAUUGAGACUUCCUUCUGAAAUUAAUCAGAAAGUUUAAAAGAGAGUUCUUCCUCAUUUUGUUAAUUACUUUCACAUAUUAAUAUAUAUUAACAUUUUAUAUGGUAAUAUGUUUUUGACAUUCCCCUCUAAAAUGUUCUCAUGGGCUGGCAGUGGUUUCUUAUAUUAUGGGAGCCCUACUCUUUACUGAAUUUUGUCCUUCUGUCAUAGGGUAAAACUUUUUCGUCUCUACAGAACUCUCUCCAAGUGCACACCCAUAGAUUGGUUUGCUUGUGGAAUCCUAGCAUAUCAGAAAUGAAGGAAUCUCAGAAAUUGUUUUCAUCAAACACCUCAUAUGCAGAAGGCAAAAUGAAGGUUCAGAGCAGAAAUGAUUUGUCCAAGGAUGCAACACUCAUCUGCAGCAGAGGGAAGCUGAGCUCUGCAGACCCACCUAGCACUGCAGAGGCAGCCCUCUAGGACAAGGCUUCAUAAAAAAGUGACUUUAUGAGUUGGCUCCAUAAAAAAGAUACAGAUUAAGAAAUUGUUUAAACAGUGAUCUCUAUAUAAUUACUCUUUUAUUUAAAAGUAUGGGCUGGGAGCGGUGGCUGACGCCUGUAAUCCCAGCACUUUGGGAGGCCGAUGUGAGCAGAUAACCUGAGGUCGGGAGUUAGAGACCAGCCUGACCAACAUGGAGAAACUCCGUCUCUACUAAAAAUACAAAAUUAGCAGGGUGUGGUGGUGCAUGCCUGUAAUCCCAGCUACUCGGGAGGCUGAGGCAGGAGAACUGCUUGAACCCAGGAGGCAGAGGUUGUGGUGAGCCGAGAUCGCGCCAUUGCACUCCAGCCUGGGCAACAAGAGCGAAACUCUGUCUCAAAAUAAAUAAAUAAAUAAGUAUUCCUUUCCCAGUCUUUUGCUGUGUGGAGCCAAGAUUUUUAUUUGCAGAAGUCUGCAGGGCUGGUGUGAUCUCUUUCAGUCAUAAACCAUAACCUUCCUAACGGGCCAUCUGCAAUAUCCAGUUGUGUUUUCUCGAAUGUGG